rnacentral:rRNA from 1 species
AUGUGGGGCGCCGCCGACCUGGUGCUGAAGGCGGCGUGCGACGCCUGCGGCAAGGCGUCCGAGCUCUACAGCACCGCCUGCCGCCACGCCACCCUCUGCAACUCCUGCGCCGCCACCAUGGCGCGCUCGCGCGCGCGCUGCAACGUCUGCGCCGCCCCCAUCACCAACGUCAUCCGGGAGUACAAUGUUCGGGUGGAUACCGCCGCGGGGAAGGCCCUUUCCAUAGCCAAAUUCAACACCGGCGUGCCGCCCUUCUCCAAGAUGAAGGGUGCGGGGAACAAGUGGUCUCUUCGUAAGGAUGGCCCGACGCAUGGCCGUCAGCUUACUGCCGAAAUGCGGGAGAAAUACUACAACAGAAAGCCAUGGAUAUUGGAAGAUGAUACAGGUGAACAUCAGUACCAAAGUAAACUUGAGGCAUCACAAUCUGCAACUGCUACAUACUAUCUGCUGAUUAGGCGCGGCAAGGAGUUCGAUGCUGUUCCUGUUGGUUCCUGGUAUAACUUCAGUAAAAUUGCACAGUACAAACAACUGACUUUGGAAGAAGCUGAAGAGAAGAUGAAUAAAAGGAGAAGCAGUGCAACUGGUUAUGAACGAUGGAUGAUGAAGACAGCUACUCAUGGAGCUGCUGCCUUUGGUUCGGAUCUGAAGGAUCUUGGUGAUGCAAAGGGCAAAGCGGCAAAUGGGGUCCAAUCCAAGAAAGAAAGUAGCAAUGAGGAUGGGAAUCACUCUGAUAAAGGCGAGGAGGAUGAAGAAGAGGGAGUUGCAAAGAAAGCUGUGCGCAGACUUUCUACGAGGGGCGUGGAUGAUGAAGAGGAUGGUGGAAAAGAAGACUUUGAUUUGGAGGAUGAGACUGAGAUAGGUGAUGAUUGGGAGCAUGAAGAGACCUUCACUGAUGAUGAUGAGGCUCUGGAUAUUGACCCAGAGGAAAGACCUGACGUAGCUGAUACUGAAAACCCUACUGGACCAGAUAUUAAGCAGGAUGAUGAUGAGAAUGAACAAGGAGCUGGUGGUAGCCUGAGCAAGUCCGGUAAGGAACUAAAAAAGCUGCUCCGCCGUGCUGAUGGACAAAAUGAGUCCGAUGACGAAGACGAUGGAGACACUGAUGAAGAUGAGUCACCAUUGUCAGUACUUGCUCCAAAACUGGAACAUCAAUUCGGAAGCGAACAACAGGAAAAUAACACUGCUAAACUAACAGCAACAGAACUUGCUGUUAGCACUCCACCUGCACCCAGGUCCAAUCAGAAAAGGAAAUCCGGAGGUGAUGGUGCAAAAACUUUGAAUCGUGCAGCGGUAAAAAAGCCAAAGACAGAACCUGAGGCAAAAACAUUAGGUGUCAAGGAAGAGCCACCCUCUUCCGUGGAACCUAUUUCAAAAGCAUCUGCUUCAGCAGGGAGUGGUACAGAUACAUCUGCAAUUACAGAGGAGGAAAUCAUAAGAGUACUUCGUGCAAUUGCUCCUGUCAGAUCACAAGAUUUUGUACCCAGGUUUAAGGCCAGAAUAAGAACUCCAGAGGACAAGAAACAUUUUCAUGACAUUGUCAUGAAAUAUGCAUAUUCGCACAAGACCAACGGCGUCAGCUAUCUUCACCUUCGAAAGGAGUACCAAUGA